AGAGUUGAUCCUGGCUUAGAACGAACGCUGGCGGCGCGUUUAAGCAUGCAAGUCGAGCGGCAAGGGCCUUCGGGCCCCUAGAGCGGCGGACGGGUGAGUAACGCGUGGGUAACCUGCCUCAUACAGGGGGAUAACAGUUAGAAAUGACUGCUAACACCGCAUAAUAUAGCGAAACCGCAUGAUUUUGCUAUCAAAUAUUUAUAGGUAUGAGAUGGGCCCGCGUCUGAUUAGCUAGUUGGUGGGGUAAAAGCCUACCAAGGCGACGAUCAGUAGCCGGCUUGAGAGAGUGACCGGCCACAUUGGGACUGAGACACGGCCCAAACUCCUACGGGAGGCAGCAGUGGGGAAUAUUGGACAAUGGGGGAAACCCUGAUCCAGCCGACGCCGCGUGAGUGAAGAAGUAUUUCGGUAUGUAAAGCUCUAUCAGCAGGGAAGAUAAUGACAGUACCUGACUAAGAAGCCCCGGCUAACUACGUGCCAGCCGCUGC
rnacentral:rRNA from 1 species